rnacentral:rRNA from 1 species
CCUACGGGAGGCAGCAGUGGGGAAUAUUGCGCAAUGGGCGAAAGCCUGACGCAGCAACGCCGCGUGAGGGAUGACGGCCUUCGGGUUGUAAACCUCUUUCAGCAGGGAAGAAGCGAAAGUGACGGUACCUGCAGAAGAAGCACCGGCUAACUACGUGCCAGCAGCCGCGGUAAU